UGGACGUUUGAGAUUUGAGAGGGGCUGCUCCUAUUACGAGAGAACCGGAGUGGAGGAACCUCUGGUGUUCCGGUCGUCACGCCAGUGGCAUUGCCGGGUAGCUAUGUUCGGAAAAGAUAACCGCUGAAAGCAUCUAAGCGGGAAACUUGCCUCAAGAUGAGAUCUCACUGGAACCUUGAGUUCCCUGAAGGGCCGUCGAAGACUACGACGUUGAUAGGUUGGGUGUGUAAGCGCUGUGAGGCGUUGAGCUAACCAAUACUAAUUGCCCGUGAGGCUUGACCAUAUAACACCCAAGCAAUU
rnacentral:rRNA from 1 species